rnacentral:lncRNA from 1 species
GGGAAAAGUCCUUGUCUCCUGCGUAUAUCAUUAAUCAAAAAUAAAUCACAAAUAAUUGCCAUUACAAUAUGAAUCUGGAUUUUUACAAUGGGGAUGAAAAUACCAGACAAAAGACCUAUGGACUUAUCGUCUCCUGAAUCAAACUUCAUCCAAGCAAUACCAAUAUUCCUUCCUAUCUUCAAUUUAUUUCAACAAGGAAAGACUAGCUAUAUUAACAUUUGAGAUAAGAAAUAAAAAAAACAACCAAAAACAUGACAGAAGAGACUGCAAUACCAAAGGUUUAGACUAAAGAAUCUUGACAUAAGAAAUAAUUAGAAACAAAGAUCGACAUAUACUACGAGUCAAGAAACAUUCAGGCGAUUAAAUGUGUUGGCAACGUCCAAACAAAAGUUUGCCUGUGUAAUUAGUUUUGGAACAUGGCUACUGUUUCAACAACCAAAGGAAACACUUCAAUUCAUUUUAACCAGAAAUUGCAGAACAUCUUAGAGGGAUCUAGCAGAACCAAUAAUGAGAGCAAUUUCAGAGGAGUUUCAGCACUCACCUCACGAAAUACCAACUGCCAAAUGAAAAUCACUGGACUACUCCUAAGUACUGCUAAUUCACAGAAGUCUUAGAGUGUUUUGUCAUAUGUCUAAUUUCAGGUCAUAAAGAAGAUUCACAUGGAUUAAGGCUUAACACAAAGACUUCAGCUAUUCAGAUGAAAACCAACAGUUUCAGUUGUUUAAACGAAAACGUAAUACAAAGGGUCAAAAACUUACUUCUUUAAACCAUGAAUUAACUAAGAUGAACCAAAAAUGAGGCUAAGAAAAAUUAGGACGAAGCUCAAACAGUCCAAACAGCAGAUUAAUGCGUUUCGAAUGCAUCAAGCUUUAGUAGAAAAGCAGAGAAGUCUUCUGCUAAGGAAGCCAACAGAAAGUUUAUUGCAUAAACAAAACCAAAUCACUGAUAAUUUUGCUGACAAGAGAUCAAUUAAAUUGCCCUUUAUUUAGUUCAGAAAAAAAACGAUAAAGCUAACUUCCAUGCAUUCGAAAACCUCGAAAGAUAACAGAAAGAGAAAUUGAACUUGCAACCUACCAACUGACAACGAAUUUGCAGGAGAUGAAUUAGUAGGUCAAAGGCAAAUAGAUCAACCAUUGCAGUGUACCUUAAUGAUAAACUAAGAAAUCUUAACAGAUCUGAGCCAAAGCCAAAGAGAGCUCAGAAACAGAGUAGAAUCACAGACAAUGGCUUUCAGGGUUCACACCAAACUAUGACGGGAUAUGAACACACACAAACAUUGAAUCACGAAUAAUAAAGAGUUGGAGAAGAAAUGAACCUGAGUUGAGAAAAACUUAGAUUAAUUCUUCUUUGAACCCAAUACAAGUGAAUUCGAUGAUGAAAGCUCAAGAACACAGCUGUUACAGUGUGUCAGGAUGAAAAAAUUACGAAUUCAAACUCGAACAACGAACUCAAUCCCGGCUCAAUCCAUCUCCAUUUUUUAGGGAAAUCAGAGAAAGAUAAUGAAAUUUCUUUUGGUUUUCAGACUUGUAAAAUAGAACUAAGACCAGAGCAAAAGAAAUUAAAAAAAUAUUUUAGACCUCCUUCUCCGGAAUUGAAUUGAGAACACGCAAAAAGAAACCAAGAAGAAAACUAAGGGAUUUUUUCAAAAAAAAACUUUUCUCUCCAAUUAUCAGACUCCCCAAAAAUCUUCUGAAAAAAAAAAAAAUCAAUCCCCCCUACAAGAAAAGGAUGUCACCUUAUAUAGACUUGCCCAAUUCUCGAAACUUCUAUUCCUCUUUCCAGAAAUUUUCCGUGCCAAGAAAUCCUCUCCCCAAAACUGAUUUUUAUCCCUUUUCUAAUCCAAAGGGGACAAAUGGAGGGAGUAGAUCAACUUGAAUCUGAUCUAACGCUCUCCAUUUUUCCUCGUUUCAUCUGAAGGGUGAAAGAAUCCGUAAAAAAUCGAAGAGAUCAUGUGAAGGAGAGGGAAUCUGUCAGAAACUGUUGUAAUAUGGUAGGAGGAGAGAGGGGAAACUCGAGGUGCGAGAUUUAUGCUCACUCGCCAAGGGUUUUGAGUGAUUUAGGGAGUGGAUUCGGGUGUUUUUGUUUUAGAAGAAGAACAACAUAUGUCUUUUG